GUGUGUGUGUGUGUGUGUGUGUUACUGCUUUGAAGAGUCAGAGGCCCCCGAGGAAGGGAAUUGUUCCAACUCACUCACUGUAUACCGCUCUCUGUGACAUAACGCUCCACGCUAUGCUGAACUUGUGAAAUUCUGUCAUGCCACAACAUGCCAUGCACAUAACAGCUGUUAUACGUUGCACUGCUUACGCCCAACUGCAGCCUGCUCUUAGGGAACAAUAAUCCUACGUUAGUGAUCCUGUAAUCAGAUCCUAAAGGACGGCAGACAGAUAUCAUGACAACACUUUGAGAGCCUGUCAUUAAAAAUGAUAAUAGCUAUAGGAGACAGGAAACGUCAACAAGUGGAAUAAGGUCCAUAUUACGUGAUGUUAAAAAUAACUCUGGAAUAAAUGUGCCACAAACGUUUUCGCUGAGGUUGGCACAAGUUUACUUCUGUUCAAAUCUAUUGAUGAAUGUGUAUCUUUCUCAGCACAAAGGAAUGUUGUUGCUUUAAUAAAUGAAUCAUUAACUGAACAGUUAAAAUCAGUGUGAUUUUUGAAAAGGCUUAUCUUAGGCCACCAAUAAUUUGGAGAGACAAGAACCAAACCAUCUGCUUCUGAAAGUGAAACAGUUUAAUUAUGAUUUCACUAAUAUCAAAAUUGCAAAAUAAUAGAAAUUAGAGGCCAAAGAUUUUGUAAAACACGUGGUUCAAGAUACAAUUCCUUCAUGAUGAUGGAUUAUUAAUUAUCGCUUUUUGUUGUGACGUCUACUAAAACUAAACCCUAUAUUGAUUAACUUGAAAAAAUAAAACACAUAUAAUCAAUUCUUGAUUUCAAAUUAUGUCUUAAAACAAUAGGUUGACGCAGGGUUAAUUCACGAGACAAGGUCAGAUAAUAAGCUAAUAAUAAUAAAGCAUUUUGCUUUAGUGGAGCCCUUGGCUGCUUUACCCAGAUCAACAGCUCAUCUCCUGAGCCACAACCCCCGGACAAAAUAUUUACAUUCUAUACUUUUGGCCAUUAUCAACAAUAUAAGUAAUUUUCCAUUGGAAACUAUUGGAAAUUGAAUGAAACAUUUUUUGUCAAGCAAACAGGAUAUAAAAUUCCACUCCAACCCACUAGAUGGCGAUAAUACACUAAAUAUAUACAGGCUGCCAGCCGCUGAUAGCGGAAAGACGAAGAAGACGCGGCAGAGCUCAGUCGGUCGCUGUCUUCCUCGAUGGUGACACUGGAGAUUUGAAUGGUCCCUUCGAACACCACGUCCCGUUUGGCCCUGAUUCCACAGAGGUCUUCAAACCAGUGACAUCGCUCCUCGUCUGGACUUGAAUAAGGUACUGACUCUCAGACACGGACAAUCAUCUGCCUGUUUUGUAAUGUCUGUUUUUCGUUUGUGUAUAAGUUUUAAAGAAUUAUCUUGUCUUUGCUCUGACUUUCAAAUAAAACUUUGAAUUUUGAA